UACGGGGGGGGCAAGCGUUGUUCGGAAUUACUGGGCGUAAAGGGCUCGUAGGUGGCCAACUAAGUCAUACGUGAAAUCCCUCAGCUUAACUGGGGAACUGCGUCUGAUACUGGAUGGCUUGAGUUUGGGAGAGGGAUGCGGAAUUCCAGGUGUAGCGGUGAAAUGCGUAGAUAUCUGGAGGAACACCGGUGGCGAAGGCGGGUCUCUGGGCAACAACUGACGCUGAGGAGCGAAAGCGUGGGGAGCGAACAGG
rnacentral:rRNA from 1 species